GUCGCUCUGGAUAAAAGUGUCUGCUAAAUGACUAAAUGUAAAUAUUAAGUGAAAAAGAGAAAUGCCUAAGUGUCUUACUCUGAUUUUUCUUUUUUGAUUGUUGUGAUUUAUUUCAUACAGAUGGACCCUGUUGUUGUAAAGGUGAUUCACACUGCCCCCAGGAAUGCAAGACACAGUGGAUCAAUUGCAUGAGACCGUAAAGGACACAUUCAAACUUGAUGAGGAAAUAACCCUGCAUUACCUUGAUGAAGACUUUGUUGCGACAGAAGCAGUACUGAGGAAUGGCAAUGAAGACUUUGCAAAAGAUGGCACAGUUCUCAACAACACCUGUGUCAGGUCUGAAAUCAUGGAAAAACUGGCUGAUUACAUGUACAGUCACACAGCCUAUCCCACAGGCCUUCAGGUUGGACAGGUUGCAGAAGCCUUAGUCAAAAAACAUCCAUGUCUGACUGAACUGAAUGGUUGGAUCGGAUGGAUGUAUAGCCUAAAAUACAAGAUGGGAAAUUAAAGGUCGAAGCUUAGAAAUCCUGGAUUUCCUGAAGUUACAAUCAACUUUCUCAAAAACCAACCCGGGCCUGGUGAGAGGAAACCAGCACAAAAUGUCAAAAAAGCACGGAAAGGAGAAGUGAUUUAUCUCCCACACUAUCAUUCAGGAGAAAGCACUGAACACCAAGAGCAACAGCGGCUACAUAUUCUGUCUGAAUGGAAGAAGAAAGAUAGCACGACAAUCAAGGAGUUAAUGGCCAGCACAUUUGUGCAUAGAAGACAUGAUGUUGUCAGUCUUCAUUGGAGCAUCAAACAGAUCAAGGAGAGGUGGCCUGCCUUGUUUGACGUGUUAUAUGUCAACGCAGAGUUUCAACGAAUCACCACCGUCUUGAGGCAAAAUUCAUGUAAAUGUUGGACCUUUAUUCCCCUAAACUGCUUUCCAUCUUCCACGCCAAGAAAGGUGCUGCUGGAGAGACACAU